AUUCCUGGUGUAGCGGUGAAAUGCGCAGAUAUCAGGAGGAACACCGAUGGCGAAGGCAGGUCUCUGGGCAUUAACUGACGCUGAGGAGCGAAAGCAUGGGGAGCGAACAGGAUUAGAUACCCUGGUAGUCCAUGCCGUAAACGUUGGGCACUAGGUGUGGGGGACAUUCCACGUUUUCCGCGCCGUAGCUAACGCAUUAAGUGCCCCGCCUGGGGAGUACGGCCGCAAGGCUAAAACUCAAAGGAAUUGACGGGGGCCCGCACAAGCGGCGGAGCAUGCGGAUUAAUUCGAUGCAACGCGAAGAACCUUACCAAGGCUUGACAUGAACUAGUAAGGCGCAGAGAUGCGUCCCCCACUUUGUGGCUGGUUUACAGGUGGUGCAUGGUUGUCGUCAGCUCGUGUCGUGAGAUGUUGGGUUAAGUCCCGCAACGAGCGCAACCCUCGUUCUAUGUUGCCAGCACGUGAUGGUGGGGACUCAUAGGAGACUGCCGGGGUCAACUCGGAGGAAGGUGGGGACGACGUCAAAUCAUCAUGCCCCUUAUGUCUUGGGCUUCACGCAUGCUACAAUGGCCGGUACAAAGGGUUGCGAUACUGUGAGGUGGAGCUAAUC
rnacentral:rRNA from 1 species